AGCGUACACGGUGGAUGCCCUGGCAGUCAGAGGCGAUGAAGGACGUGCUAAUCUGCGAUAAGCGUCGGUGAGGUGAUAUGAACCGUUAUAACCGGCGAUUUCCGAAUGGGGAAACCCAGUGUGUUUCGACACACUAUCAUUAACUGAAUCCAUAGGUUAAUGAGGCGAACCGGGGGAACUGAAACAUCUAAGUACCCCGAGGAAAAGAAAUCAACCGAGAUUCCCCCAGUAGCGGCGAGCGAACGGGGAGGAGCCCAGAGCCUGAAUCAGUGUGUGUGUUAGUGGAAGCGUCUGGAAAGGCGUGCGAUACAGGGUGACAGCCCCGUACACAAAAAUGCACAUAUUGUGAGCUCGAUGAGUAGGGCGGGACACGUGGUAUCCUGUCUGAAUAUGGGGGGACCAUCCUCCAAGGCUAAAUACUCCUGACUGACCGAUAGUGAACCAGUACCGUGAGGGAAAGGCGAAAAGAACCCCGGCGAGGGGAGUGAAAAAGAACCUGAAACCGUGUACGUACAAGCAGUGGGAGCCUCUUAAUGGGGUGACUGCGUACCUUUUGUAUAAUGGGUCAGCGACUUAUAUUCUGUAGCAAGGUUAACCGAAUAGGGGAGCCGAAGGGAAACCGAGUCUUAACUGGGCGUUAAGUUGCAGGGUAUAGACCCGAAACCCGGUGAUCUAGCCAUGGGCAGGUUGAAGGUUGGGUAACACUAACUGGAGGACCGAACCGACUAAUGUUGAAAAAUUAGCGGAUGACUUGUGGCUGGGGGUGAAAGGCCAAUCAAACCGGGAGAUAGCUGGUUCUCCCCGAAAGCUAUUUAGGUAGCGCCUCGUGAAUUCAUCUCCGGGGGUAGAGCACUGUUUCGGCAAGGGGGUCAUCCCGACUUACCAACCCGAUGCAAACUGCGAAUACCGGAGAAUGUUAUCACGGGAGACACACGGCGGGUGCUAACGUCCGUCGUGAAGAGGGAAACAACCCAGACCGCCAGCUAAGGUCCCAAAGUCAUGGUUAAGUGGGAAACGAUGUGGGAAGGCCCAGACAGCCAGGAUGUUGGCUUAGAAGCAGCCAUCAUUUAAAGAAAGCGUAAUAGCUCACUGGUCGAGUCGGCCUGCGCGGAAGAUGUAACGGGGCUAAACCAUGCACCGAAGCUGCGGCAGCGACGCUUAUGCGUUGUUGGGUAGGGGAGCGUUCUGUAAGCCUGUGAAGGUGUGCUGUGAGGCAUGCUGGAGGUAUCAGAAGUGCGAAUGCUGACAUAAGUAACGAUAAAGCGGGUGAAAAGCCCGCUCGCCGGAAGACCAAGGGUUCCUGUCCAACGUUAAUCGGGGCAGGGUGAGUCGACCCCUAAGGCGAGGCCGAAAGGCGUAGUCGAUGGGAAACAGGUUAAUAUUCCUGUACUUGGUGUUACUGCGAAGGGGGGACGGAGAAGGCUAUGUUGGCCGGGMGACGGUUGUCCCGGUUUAAGCGUGUAGGCUGRUUUUCCAGGCAAAUCCGGAAAAYCAAGGCUGAGGCGUGAUGACGAGGCACUACGGUGCUGAAGCGACAAAUGCCCUGCUUCCAGGAAAAGCCUCUAAGCAUCAGGUAACAUCAAAUCGUACCCCAAACCGACACAGGUGGUCAGGUAGAGAAUACCAAGGCGCUUGAGAGAACUCGGGUGAAGGAACUAGGCAAAAUGGUGCCGUAACUUCGGGAGAAGGCACGCUGAUAUGUAGGUGAAGCGACUUGCUCGUGGAGCUGAAAUCAGUCGAAGAUACCAGCUGGCUGCAACUGUUUAUUAAAAACACAGCACUGUGCAAACACGAAAGUGGACGUAUACGGUGUGACGCCUGCCCGGUGCCGGAAGGUUAAUUGAUGGGGUUAGCGGCAACGCGAAGCUCUUGAUCGAAGCCCCGGUAAACGGCGGCCGUAACUAUAACGGUCCUAAGGUAGCGAAAUUCCUUGUCGGGUAAGUUCCGACCUGCACGAAUGGCGUAAUGAUGGCCAGGCUGUCUCCACCCGAGACUCAGUGAAAUUGAACUCGCUGUGAAGAUGCAGUGUACCCGCGGCAAGACGGAAAGACCCCGUGAACCUUUACUAUAGCUUGACACUGAACAUUGAGCCUUGAUGUGUAGGAUAGGUGGGAGGCUUUGAAGUGUGGACGCCAGUCUGCAUGGAGCCGACCUUGAAAUACCACCCUUUAAUGUUUGAUGUUCUAACGUUGGCCCGUAAUCCGGGUUGCGGACAGUGUCUGGUGGGUAGUUUGACUGGGGCGGUCUCCUCCUAAAGAGUAACGGAGGAGCACGAAGGUUGGCUAAUCCUGGUCGGACAUCAGGAGGUUAGUGCAAUGGCAUAAGCCAGCUUGACUGCGAGCGUGACGGCGCGAGCAGGUGCGAAAGCAGGUCAUAGUGAUCCGGUGGUUCUGAAUGGAAGGGCCAUCGCUCAACGGAUAAAAGGUACUCCGGGGAUAACAGGCUGAUACCGCCCAAGAGUUCAUAUCGACGGCGGUGUUUGGCACCUCGAUGUCGGCUCAUCACAUCCUGGGGCUGAAGUAGGUCCCAAGGGUAUGGCUGUUCGCCAUUUAAAGUGGUACGCGAGCUGGGUUUAGAACGUCGUGAGACAGUUCGGUCCCUAUCUGCCGUGGGCGCUGGAGAACUGAGGGGGGCUGCUCCUAGUACGAGAGGACCGGAGUGGACGCAUCACUGGUGUUCGGGUUGUCAUGCCAAUGGCACUGCCCGGUAGCUAAAUGCGGAAGAGAUAAGUGCUGAAAGCAUCUAAGCACGAAACUUGCCCCGAGAUGAGUUCUCCCUGACUCCUUGA
rnacentral:rRNA from 1 species